rnacentral:rRNA from 1 species
AUUGAACGCUGGCGGCAGGCCUAACACAUGCAAGUCGAGCGGAGCGGCGGACGGGUGAGUAAUGCCUAGGAAUCUGCCUGGUAGUGGGGGAUAGCGUCCGGAAACGGGCGCUAAUAUCGCAUACUAUCAGAUGAGCCUAGGUCGGAUGAGCUAGUUGGUGGGGUAAAGGCUUACAAAGGCGACGAUACGUAACGGGUCUGAGAGGUUGAUCGGUCACACUGGAACUGAGACACGGCCCAGACUCCUACGGGAGGCAGCAGUGGGGAAUAUUGGACAAUGGGCGAAAGCCUGAUCCAGCCAUGCCGCGUGUGUGAAGAAGGUCUUCGGAUUGUAAAGCACUUUAAGUUGGGAAGCGUUACCAACAGAAUAAGCACCGGCUAACUUCGUGCCAGCCGCCGCGGUAAUUC